AUAUAUAUAUAUAAUACACACACACAAGCGGCAAAGUUGAAUUAGAGAAUUUUAUAUAUUAUAACAAUAUAAUGUUACAUAUUAUACUAAUGUGGAUAGUACUAAUCAAAAGGAACUUCACAGUAUGAAAAAGAAUUAGAAAUGGUAAAAGAAGUCAGACCAUUCAAAGAACAAGCUGAAGUAAAUAAGAUUCGAAUUUUUACAGUGCUAACGAUAACAUGAAUUGUACAGGAAUUACUAGAAAACAACUGAUAGAAAGAAUACAACAAUAUAAACAUGACAUUGCUGCAAGAAAGAAUAAUACUGCAUUAUACAGCACAGCCUUUGAAAGGAACAUAGAAGUUGAUUGGAAUAAUAAUACCAUAUUAAAGAAUACAGCAGAUGAGGAUUUUAUACAAGAAAAAUGGCACAUAUACCAAGAAAACAUUUAUAACAAAUAUAUUAUUAAUUUGAAAGACUCCUGUAACUUU
rnacentral:lncRNA from 1 species